UUCGCAAGUGAUGAUAAAACAGACAGGGACAUCAGAACUCAUUUGGAGGAAUGAUUGAUUAGUCUAAUGGGAAUCUCUCUGAUGCAAU